AANCCAACAGGGUAUUGCCUUAGCUAGCGGCGAGUGAAGCGGCAAAAGCUCAAAUUUGAAAUCUGGCACUUUCAGUGUCCGAGUUGUAAUUUGAAGAAGGUAUCUUUGGGUCUGGCUCUUGUCUAUGUUUCUUGGAACAGAACGUCACAGAGGGUGAGAAUCCCGUGCGAUGAGAUGUCCCAGACCUAUGUAAAGUUCCUUCGAAGAGUCGAGUUGUUUGGGAAUGCAGCUCUAAGUGGGUGGUAAAUUCCAUCUAAAGCUAAAUAUUGGCGAGAGACCGAUAGCGAACAAGUACAGUGAUGGAAAGAUGAAAAGAACUUUGAAAAGAGAGUGAAAAAGUACGUGAAAUUGUUGAAAGGGAAGGGCUUGAGAUCAGACUUGGUAUUUUGUAUGUUACUCUCUCGGGGGUGGCCUCUACAGUUUACCGGGCCAGCAUCAGUUUGGGCGGUAGGACAAUUGCAAAGAAAUGUGGCACUGCCUCGGUAGUGUGUUAUAGUCUUUGUCGAUACUGCCAGCCUAGACUGAGGACUGCGGCUUCGGCCUAGGAUGUGGCAUAAUGUGCUAUUCGC
rnacentral:rRNA from 1 species